ACCCUGAAACGCCAGCUUUGUCCCCUAAUCGUAUAUUUAUGAAUAAAACAGAAGCCGAAGGAUAUGGCAGUGUCUGCCUGCUUCAUAUGACUUUGUUCUGAAAAUAAAUUUGCAUAAAGUUCAUGCUGUAUCGUGAACUUCCCCACCUUAUGUUAUGUUCAUGUUUGUUUGGUUUAAUCAAAAUAUGGAAAAUAUAUUGAAGUCUUUGUAAUGUUUUACAAAUGGGGUUGAUAUUAUCAGCAGAAAUCUGAAUGAUUAAUUCUACAUUGAGGGUCCACCUAAACAUACAUAUUUUCAGAAGCAUUCAACCAUAUUAACUGAUGGUGGUCACCAACUUUAUAAACCAAACAUCACAAAAAGUCCUAUGACGUUAAAGCUUGUGCCCUUAUCCAUGGUAAAUUCCUGCUUCAUCUCCGUAAAUCCUAUGAAUAAUAUUAAGUAGAGGCAAAAGGACCCUUGUAAGGAACGCUCCUAGCCUUACAGAUAUCGUAUGGGCUUUGAGGAUCCUCAGGGACAAUAUUUGCAUAGUUGGGAGUGACUCGUUAUAAAUGAUAUCAAUCUUAAUUCCUAAUCUUGAUGUGGGAGUUUAUUUGACCUAAUACAAGGGGUCUCACCUAUUUCACUCUGCAAUCCCAUGUGAUAUAAUGAAGAUAUUGUGUCUCCAUCGGGUGUAUUUGUAAUAACCUAUAUCAGAUUGAUGACGUGAUAUGUGUAUGACCUCUUCUUGAACCUUGUAGACGAGUCUUAAAACCGUAAGGACUGUUUGGGUUCAAAGUAGACGAUAUCCAUAAAGUUGAUGGAGUUGUAUCUUUACGACUCUUGAGUCACAUUGAACUUUUCCAUGAAAUGGGCAGACUCUAAAGGACUCACUAUCCACUGUGCUGUAGAAAUGUAGGGUCACAUCAAAUCUGGUUUGUAAGUAGGGAAACAAUUGCUUGACUUGUCUCUCGAUGUACUGCAGAUCUGGUAAAGGUCCUCUUUCCUUCCUUUGGAGGACUGCUUCAGUGGGCUGUUGUUGGUUGUUGGUAUUUGGAUUUAACACUUAUACAAAAUAUAUAUUUUUGGGCUGCCGGAGCUCUAAUUUUAUUGAUGAAGAGUGCUGAAUUUAUACAUGAACUUGUAACUUAAAUGACAUUAGAAUAGCAGAAAAUCAAGCUACUAGAUGAUGAACAACUACUUCCUAUAAAAUAGAAACCAAAUCUUGACCAAAUAAAAAGAAGAAAAUAUCUAGAUGUUGCAGAUUUUGUGCAAGACUCCAGCUGCAAUAUUCAAAAUUCAAAUUCCAGCAAAUACUAAGUCAAAAUUCAACACUCCUCCUUGACUUCGUAGAUGCAAACUCCAAGUCUUGCACGUAGACACUCAAACCAAACUUCGAAAGGGGUCUGCUUCUUUAACACUUUUGUUGGCAAUAUGUUCAGAAAAUAUACUGCUCUACUUGCAGUUUUAGCCCAAAAUUGUUUGCAUUCCAUUUCAAGGAUGGCAUUUUUUGAGAUCCACCAAACAUUGUUUGCAUUCCAUUUCAAGGAUGGCAUUUUUUGAGAUCCACCAACAUCAGUAUGCACCAGUUGCAGUUUUUGGGUUGCUCUCCAGGAUAUUUUCUUUGGAAAGGGAAGUUUAGUUUGCUUCCCAUAUUGACAAGUAGCACAUAUAGGAAGAUCUUUUUCUAAGUCAGGAAGUCCUUUAGCUAUUUGAUUUUUCUUCAUGUAGAGCACAUCAUCAUGAUGAAAGUGCUCGACCCUUCUGUCCCAAAACAUUGUUGUGCUAUCCUGUUGUAAAAUAGCAGUAUGCUCAUCUUCCAGUAAAUUCAAGGCAAAACUCUUGCCCUUCAUUUUUAUGUUGAACACCUCUUUGCCUUCAGCAUCCUUGAUAAUGCAAUUCCUAUCUUCAAAAUAAACUUUAAAUUCUUUCUCAACGAGCUGUCCAACACUGAGUAAGUUUUGGUCAAUGUCAGGCACAAACAAAACAUCAUAAAUGAGUUUCAAACCUGUUUGGCUUUCGAUAGCAACCGUUCCUUUGCCCUUCACUGGAAUAUACUCACCAUUUCCAAUUUUGACUUUGGAAAUAAUUGUUCUAUCAAGUUCUCUAAAGAGAUCUUGAUUAUUUGUCAUGUGGUUUGUACAACCACUAUCCACAAGCCAGCUUUUAGAGGUGCUUUUAUUAGCAAAACACGUUGCUGCAAACAAUUGCUCCUCCUGACAAUAGUCAACUACUGCAUUAGUUUCUUCCUGCUGUUGAUUUUUGCAAAUCCUCUCCACAUGUCCUUGUUUACCACACUUGUUGCAUUUCACAUCUGGUCUCCACCAACAUUUUUGUGGAGAAUGAUUUGUCUUCUUGCAAUGAGGACAAGGUGGAAAAACUCCAUUUUUCUGGUUGUUGCCACACGACUUGUUGUUGUUCACCUUUCCAUUUUUAUGGCCUGCAUUUUUCUGCAUUCUUGCUUGAAAUGCUCCUUCUGCAGUAUCUCCUUGUCUCAUGAGUCUUCUUUGUUCCACAGCCUCCAAGGAAUGUAAUAAUUCUGUCAAGAUAAUAGUUGACAGAUCUUUUGAAUUCUCCAAAGAGGAAAUUGUAGCUUCAUAUUUCUCAGGAAGUGUAACCAAUAUCUUUUGAACAAUCUUCUCAUUGGAAAAUUCUUUUCCAAGCAGCCUAACUUUGUCUGCUAUUGAAAGAAGUUGUGCAGCAUAGUCUUUAACAGCAUCAGACUCCCUCAUUUUCUUCAUUUCAAAUUCUCGAAUCAAGUUCAUCACCUGCAUGUUCUUGAUUCUUUCAUCUCCUUUGUAUUCCUCCUUGAGAUACUCCCAAAUUUCUGCAGCUAAAUCAAUUUUCAUGAUUUUGAUGAAAAUUGAUGGUGAAACUGCAGCAAACAAGCAAGCUUUCGCUUUAGCCUUUCUUGUCCUUCUUUCUUUAUGCAACUUCAUUUGAGCCACAGUUGGAUUGGCUCCUAGGGGAGGAACUUCAUAAUUUUCUUCCACUGCUUCCCAAACAUCAAGUGCUUGUAGAUGAACUGUCAUUCUAACAGCCCAAGUUUCAUAAUUGUCUCCAUCAAGAACUGAUGGUGCAACUGUGAGACUUGACUCUUCCAUUGCUAAAUGAUUUUAGAAGGUGUUUGGGUUCACUCACCUCACUGGCCCCUCAAGAUAACUAUGGCUCUGAUACCACUUUGUUGGUAUUUGGAUUUAACACUUAUACAAAAUAUAUAUUUUUGGGCUGCCGGAGCUCUAAUUUUAUUGAUGAAGAGUGCUGAAUUUAUACAUGAACUUGUAACUUAAAUGACAUUAGAAUAGCAGAAAAUCAAGCUACUAGAUGAUGAACAACUACUUCCUAUAAAAUAGAAACCAAAUCUUGACCAAAUAAAAAGAAGAAAAUAUCUAGAUGUUGCAGAUUUUGUGCAAGACUCCAGCUGCAAUAUUCAAAAUUCAAAUUCCAGCAAAUACUAAGUCAAAAUUCAACAUUGGUGAGUGUCUUAUUUCAUAUGUUGCAGUUCAUAUCAUCAAACAUAUUAAAAAAUUUUGUAAUCUCAUCAUUUUGUUGUAUUGCAGGGGACACAUUCCCUGGUGGGUGUGCUUUUGAUGAGUCCAUUGUUCACCACAAGGUUGGUCUUCUUUCAAAUCCAUAUUACUAAAGAAACAUAUCCAGUUACUCUAAUUAUUUUAAUUAUUUGAAUCAGACUUAUGGUUUUUAUGAUGCUCUGCAGUAUCUCAAGGAAAACCCUGACGACCAUAAUCCUGCUUACAACACUAAGUAUGGGGUUUACUCAGAGGGCUGUGGGCUUGAGAAUGUGAUGAUGUCAUGGGGGCAUGAUGACUACAUGUACCUGGUACAUGUUUCAAACUCUGCCCACAUUACCUACUCUACCUAUAUCAAAUUUUUUAAUUGUUUUUGAGGUUAAGAGUGACAAAAUUCUAACUUCUCAUCUCUCAUUUUUAGGUGGCCAAGGAGAAGAAGACAACUUUACCUGCAGCAGGGCUUUCUGUUAUCAAAUACCAUUCCCUUUUGUGGUUAGUACAAAAAAAUCAGAGAAAUUUCUUGAACCCCAUUCAGCAUCAAGGCUUUAUUUUGUUAUUGAGUCGAGGGAACGAGGAAAUUUCUCUAAACAUAUAUCCAAUUAUACACAAAAAUGGUGAUUUCUUGAUGAAUCGGUCUUAAUUAAAGUGUUUAAUGUGGCUCAAGAUAUUGAGGAUCUGAAGUGGCUCAAGAUAUUCAAGUAAGAUUACCAUUUUUUUCUUUUACUUCUAAGUCCUAACUAUACCUUGCCUAAUAAAUUCUGAUGUUUAUUUUCCAAUUCCUUUCCUGUAUAUGCAGCAAAUAUGACCUUUACAGCAAGAGCAAAGUCCGAAUCGAUGUUGAGAAGGUUAAGCCAUACUUUCCCGCAAUGAAAAGGGUAGAACUACUCAAUUUUGUUAGAACCCGUUUGACAAUGUGUGGACCCCGCAUUUUCAGCUCAAUGUGUUUCCCACUCGAAUGGCGAGCUCGAUUCUUAUUUGAAAAAAUUGAUUUUAUUUAUUGUUUGAAAAAAUGACUUGGAGUCGCCACUUAUUUUUGUUUUAUUUUUAAAGGGUAAACAAAAUAAGAAAGAAAAACCCUAAGUGUGACUCCUUAUUUUGGAAAAGGCGGUCUGUGAAAAACCGGAUCACGUUCGGGGGUCAGGUUACUUAUCGGAAAGGUACGGUAAAGACCGUAGCACCCUUCUAAGUCCCUAAAAUCGGGUCUCUACUAAUAGAAUGAAGCUGACGUGGCAGUCAACAAGAAAAUCGAUGAAUAGUCAAAUCAAAUCAUGCACAAUAUGAGAAGCAAAACAUGUAUAAAGAAUGAGCAAAAUACGAAUAGAUGCGUACUUGGGCAGUAAUCUCAAAUGCGCUAUCAUGAAACAGGGUUAGUGAGCAAUGAACAAGAUAUAAUUAAGCGCAUAUCAAAUAACAGAAUAAAUCAAUCAUACAUGGCAAAUAAAUCAGUCAAACAAUCAAUUAGUCGUGAAGUCACGUAUGUAGGGCCCCCACCAAAGCCCAAUUCAUUUUUGCAUGAAUUAAUUCCAUAAAUUCCCUUGCUUGGAAUUACGGAAUUUUAUUCUAGCUUAUUUUAAAACAUUUUGAAAAGAAGGAGAUAUGGAAAUUAUUUGCCAGAAGGAAAGAUGACAACAAAAUUUUAUUGGAAAUGAGAUUUUUGAGUGAUCCUAAAAAUUCUAAAGAUGAAAAUUUGAAAAAUAAAUAAAUAAAUAAGAAUAAAAUAAAAUUAUUUGAAAAUCUAGAAAUUGGAAACUAUUUGAAAACGGGAAAUUUGGAAAUUAUUUUAAAAUUGAAGAUAAAGAAAUAAUGAGGAAAAUGAAGAAAGAUGUGGCCUAAAGGUGGCUUAUCAAAGGUGGCCACGCAUGGUUGGUUUGGUCUCUUCCAUUAUCGGUGAGUUGACUGGCAGAAAACUUCGAGUUCAGUGUCAUUGGGUUGGCAUCUGGACAUAGAAAAUGGGUGCUUGCCCACAGCAUUAGGGGUUAGCUGCUCUGUAUUAGAGAACUCUCCUUUGUGCUCCAACGACAUAUCAUUCCUGUGGGAAUCCUGUAUUUUUGAAGACUGGGUAGCAUUUUCUUCAUGAUGAUGGUCAAGCUUGAUAUUCAAGAGAAACGAAUCGGCACUACAGUCCUUCAUUUCAGCAUGAGAUGCCUCUUCCUGUCUGUUCUUAGAAAUGGAAAUCCUUGUUUCAAGGAGAGAAACCAAUGAACUAAGCCGCUGAUCCCAAACAUGUAGACCAAUGAGGAGAGAACGUCUCGAGCAGUUGAGUUCCAGAAUGUCUACUGCCACUUGACCCACCAUAAUCGCCAAGCUUAGUCAAUACCUCCAAGUGCUCGGUAAGAAACAGGUCCAAAACACUAAGAUAUGUCACAGUGUUAAAAAAAAAGACGUUGAAGAGAUCCUUGAUCAAGCCACUCCACCAGAUUCUAUGGCGAUAGAUUUCACCGAAGACAUGAAGAGCGAUGACGAAGCCAAUAAAGCAAAGGCUCGUCACAAAAACCACCAUCGGAGUAAUUUUCAAGCCCGGAGCGUCAUCGGUGUAGAACCGGAGCAAGUUGCUCCCGCUGCUGCCACUGUCGAACCCGUCAGAACCAUCACCAGUAUCCAGAGAAUGUUAGAACCAGCACCAAGAGUGGCCCAGUUCAGUCGGAAGUCCUCAUCUGUGGACAAGCUUCCACGGACGAGAAGGUUACUCACCUUUGUGCUCUCCUCGGCAGCAUUUCUAUGCUUUGUUCAGUAUCUGCCAAAUGAUUUACAUCCUUUUGGUUCUUCACCAAACUUCGGAAUCAGAAUACUUGAUGUGGACGCAAUCAACAGAGCAAUUGUAGCAAAUGCCAGUUUUCCUGCAUCGGGCUUGGCCAGAGACAACACUCUGCCAUCAUUCAAAGCGGUGGAAAAGAAUGCACCGAUCUGCUCGUGCCGUCUUCCAAGCCGUUCUCCACAUAUGAAUAUCCACGUUGACACCAUGGCAUUUUCUGGACCAAACCAUCCCCUGGCAGCAAUCAAGCGCACUUAACGCAUAGCAUGUAGCUCCUAUUGCGAACAUCUGUCAAACAGCAAGGCAUCAUCUAUUUCUUCUAAACGCGAGAAGUCAACUGAUUUUGAAUUUGAUGGUUCAUUUGCAGAAGUUUCCACUCGGGAUAGUUCCCUGCUGCAAUGGAGUUCUAGAGAUCCUGAGUAGCAUGGCUGUGGUUGCUUGGCGUUCCGGUGAUGACAGAGGCGCUUCGCCGCCGGCGUCGUUCGAGGACAGCUUUGCUUGCUCUUUCCAUGAACCGGUUUCUGUGAUUUUCAGGUAUUGAAAGAAUGAUCCCUUGGGUGAUGGUGGUGACUGCUAACACUUGCCAUCAGGAGGCUGCUGAAACUGAACAGAAGCAUGAACCCUCGCAUUGCAACUGCAUAUCUCAUGGAUUGCAUAUCCUUGAAUUGUCCAAGUUCUCUUUGCAAAGCCCCAAUACACCUUACUGAAUUGCCCUAUUGGAAGGGAGAGUAGAGGCCAGAGUAUAACAAUGAUGAUAGUAAAGCCAACACCCCAUUUCAUGAAACCAACUUUUACCUUCUCAAAAAAACUCAAACCAUGUAAAACACUAAAGAAACAGUCAACAUGAGACUGGAGUAUUUUCUUGAGCCAGAAAAAAAAACAAACAGUGAAAGAAGAAAACAGAGGACGAAGGAAAAUUACUAUCAUGAAAGAUAAAAGCCCAAUGAAAAUGUAUCACAAGAUUGACCUAAGGGCUCCAAACAGGUGGGGAUGAUCUGGAGAUCCUCAAUAUUACAAGCUUAAAACCAAACUAGGCUCAAGGUAGAUCCAGCCAUUUACAGAGGAGAAUAUCAAGAGUAACAGAGAGAAGCAUAACAGAGCACCAUAUACAAAUAAGCAUGUUCAAUCAAAACAAUCCUGUGGCCCUUGACGUCCACAGCAAACAAUAAAACCCUGCUCACGGAUCAACAGAGAAUCAAACAGAGAAUGAUGCAAGACAUAAAGAGACGGGAACAUACCAAACUCAAGGUAGAUUUACCUGAAACUAGCAAAAGACUUCUUCACCAGCAAGCUUUUUCUCCCAAGCUAGCUCCACUCUCUGAAUAUUCCUCCAGUAGCAAAAACUUGACUCUCAAGCAAAAAAAAACGUCUCUGAAUGUGAAUCUCUCCCCUCUCCAGCCAAACUCCAGGAAGGAAACCACCCUCCUCACCGCUCCUUUUUCCUAAAAGCACUCUGGUUCUCUCAGCUUGCUUCUCUCUCUCAGUUUGCCUUUCUUCCCUCCAAGAGCUACUCUCUGUAUAGCUUAUAGAAAAAAUCUCCUUGAAAACGGCAAUGGAGACUUCCCCUUCAUUCUGCUCUCAAGCUCUCCAGAAUCUCUCCGUUUUUUUUUUUUUUUCUCUCCCUUCCCUGAAUAUCCAGCCUGCCCCCUUUGUCAAACAAAGGAUCCCCUCAAAAUAUCUCCAGGCAGCCUCGCCAAAAGCACCACCUCCUCUCUGCCAGACCACCUGCAUAACGGAAUACGCUCCUCAUAUAUUCCUCUUCUAGAACCUUCCUCCACAUGUCAAAUUUCUAUUGGUUCCUCAAAUGCUCAGCUGAUUCCCUAGCAUCCAUCCCUGAGCUGACACGUGGCCACCUAAGAUGGUGACACCUGGCCAAAUAAUCUGCAGAAAAUUCAAAGAGAAAAUGUCUCCAAAAUGGGGGUCAACACAAUGAUUCUAAGAAAUGCUUCUAAACUUUCUAACACUUGAAAUUUUUUUUUAGAAUAGUUGUUUUGAAAUGUUUCCUAAAAUUACUGUUAAAUAAGCUCUAACAUUCUUUCUAGUCCCCUAUGAUUUGUCCUUAACACAAGGAACCAUUGUUGUUGCAGUACUUCCCUGCUAAGCUCAACUGGUGAGAGUUGGAGCUCUGAAGUUUGCCGGAGGAGUUCAACACAGCUUGGUCUCAGUCUGCUGGAGGGGCAGGGCAUGAUGUAAUAUAGAUGGUUUUCCUUACUAUGAUGUGUAAUGACCAGGGAAACAAUAGUGUACUUGUGAGAAGGGAUUCUCACAAUAUUGUAGCCUGUGGCUCUUCUGAAAUAAAUUCUCUGCAUUGCCCUUUUGUAAUUGCCCUUCCCUUGUUUCCAAAGUUCAAACAAAAUGGUUUAGUUGUAAAGAAUCAAAGAGGGUAUUUUUCAUCCCCCAUCUAAUUACGACAAACAAAAGAUUUCAUAUGAUUCAUAAAUUAAAUUCUUAGUUGAUGAAUCAAAUAUUUAGUACAAGGUAAAAUACAAGAACUAUGUUAUUGAGCUGAGGGAAUUGAUAACAGGUGGCAAUUCGUGUUGGUGGUUGUUUGUGUCAAAACCUGGAUAUUUUACUACAUAGUUCAGCCUGAACUCGACAUGAAUAAUAAUCAAAUCAAAAAUAUAAAUUAAAUACUAUCUAAUUAUUAAUUAGGUAACACAUUUAACUCAUUUAAUAAUCAAGUUUUUCUAUUUGAUAAUUAAGUUGAGCUAGAUCAAUCUUAUAUAAAUUUAUAUGAUCAAUGCCUACAUGAUUAUAACUUAAUUAAGUUAAAUAUGAAUUACAUAGUUUAAACUUAUAUUUAAGUUAAUUAUUAAAUGAGUCAAUUUAGGUUAAAUUUAUAUUAUGCAAGUUGAUCCAAAAACUUUCUAUUUGUUAAAUGGGAUAUACUGGUUAACAUGAAUAUAAUCCAAAUCUGAUUAUACUCAAGCCAAACAAAAGUAUGUUGGGUUCGAGUUCGUGUUGGAAUCAUCGUAUCAAACUUUGUCACUGCCAAACAUGGUUAUCUCAAUAUGAUACUUGGAAAAUUGUGGUGACUAUUUCAAAUAGUCCAAGAUGAAAUCAAGAUUGGCCAGCUUGAUUCUUACCUAAUCUUACAGCAGCCCAUCAUAAUUCUCAUGUUUCCUUGAUGAAAGCAAUAGAUUUUGAAUCAUUGUAGUUGCUUGAGUGAGUUGAGGAUAUCAUGCUGACCUACGUAAGAUGCUAUUCAAAUUGGUAACAACUACUAGUGAUAUAAGACAUUGACGCAAAGCUCAUUCAACCCACAAUCCCACCUAAGAUGAUGAGAAAAAGGCUGUGAAAAAGGACAAAAAGUUUGAAAAUGGUGAAAGCUCAUCCAAUAAGAUGGAAACUUAGACAAACUGGAGCCCAAAACGCUGGGAAUUCUACAUUUUCCAUUCAUACUUUGCAGCAUAUACGCAAAGUAACUUCCAUGACUAUGUCCUUCACAGUGUAUAUAAGUAUGCUUCUCCAGUACUAGAUUUUAUCAUAACAAAUUAACAUGGCAGCAACCAACUCUCCAAGGUCUAUUCUGCUCACCAUUUUCAUCUUUGCCAUGGUUUUAUCUCCAAUGGUAUCACCAUGUGAUGCAGCUCGAUUCACCCAACGAGGUAAACCUGAUUAAUCAUUGAUUACUGGUACUAGAUAUUUUGUUACCAUGAUGAUAUUAAUUCAGUCUUUUUUUUUUUUUUCUUUUUUCAUGCAGAGCUUCUUCAAGGAGGACCCCUCUGCCCUGCUUGUGUUUGUUGCUCACCUUUACCUCCAAACGGUUGCUGCCAAUGCUGUGCUUCUCCUGCAGAACAACCAGUGUCACCCUGAAACGGCAGCUUUGUCCCCCAAUCAUAUAUUUAUGAAUAAAUUGAAGCCAAAGGAUAUGCCAGUGUCCUGCCUGCUUCAUAUUCCUUUGUUCUGAAAAUAAAUUUGAAUGAAGUUCAUGCUGUAUUGUGAACUCCCCACCUUAUGUUAUGUUCAUGUUGGUUGGUUUAAUCAAAAUAUGGAAAAUAUAUUGAAGUGUUAGUAAUUUUUCACAAAUGGGGUUGAUGAUAGUAUCUGCAGAAAUCUGAAUGACUAAUUCCACAUUGAGGGUCCACCAAGCCACAGAUAUUUUCAGAAGCAUUCAACCAUAUUAAAUGGUGGUGGUCACCAACCUUAUAGAUCAAACAUCACAAAAGGUCCACAUGAUAUUAAAGCUCGUGACAACCACAUCUAACGGAUAUUGAGUUAAUCUCAAAGAUAGAAGACACAUCAUCUGUAAUUAGAAUGACCCAAGAUUGAUCAGAUGGUUCCAAGUUUCUUGUGAUUUAUAAUUAGAUGAGGCCAGCUACUUUUCACUGCAGGG
rnacentral:lncRNA from 1 species